GUGCCAGCAGCCGCGGUAAAACGUAGGUCCCGAGCGUUAUCCGGAUUUACUGGGCGUAAAGCGCGUUCAGGCGGCCGCGCAAGUCGGGCAUGAAAUCUCUCGGCUCAACCGGGAGGGGUUGUCCGAUACUGUGCGGCUGGAGGGCAGUAGAGGGUGGUGGAAUUCCGGGUGUAGUGGUGAAAUGCGUAGAGAUCCGGAGGAACACCAGUGGCGAAAGCGGCCACCUGGACUGUACCUGACGCUGCAACGCGAAAGCUAGGGGAGCGAACGGGAUUAGAAACCCGCGUAGUCC
rnacentral:rRNA from 1 species